rnacentral:rRNA from 1 species
AUGGGGAGAACCAUGGCCGUCGGCGGUGCCGGCGCAAGUGACCACCUGAAGUCGUCGUGGCCGGAGGUUGUGGGCUGGGACGGUAUUACAGCGUCGCUCAAGAUCAAAGCCGACAGGAUGGACGUCUACAUAGAGUUGCACUUCGUCGGCGACACCCUGGCGCCGGGUGAAGACAACCACCGCGUCCGCCUUUUUGGCGACCGCGUCACGGGCUUGGUCGCUCAGACGCCCGUCGUUGGCUAG